AUGAUACCCAAAUUUUGCAGGCUGAUAAAAAGAAGUUACAGUUUAAUCGAAGGGAGAAUGAAAAUUUCAAUAUUGGCAUCCUUAUAUAAGGCCUUCUAUGUCUUUUUUCUAAGGCCACAAACAAGAAAACAUGCAGUCGUCUUAUGGCCGUGGGAUGGAGGGCGGCGUGCAAGGACAACCAAGGAGAUCACAUCCACCUACUUUUGGCUGUUUGUGUCACUCUUCUUUGGUGAAUCAUUCCAAUCAUUUCGUUGGGGCUCUGCAUCCCAUCUGAAUGGGUACAUUACCCAUCCAAAAUCAGAACCUGAUGGUCACUCUACGAUCUAA
rnacentral:rRNA from 1 species